UGCAACUGAAGAGUUUGAUCAUGGCUCAGAUUGAACGCUGGCGGCAGGCCUAACACAUGCAAGUCGAGCGGCAGCACGGGAAGCUUGCUUCCUGGUGGCGAGCGGCGGACG
rnacentral:rRNA from 1 species